rnacentral:rRNA from 1 species
AUAGCGUAUAUUAAAGUUGUUGCGGUUAAAAAGCUCGUAGUUGAAUCUGUGUCCCACGCUGUCGGUUCGCCGCUCGCGGUGUUUAACUGGCAUGAUUGUGGGACGUCCUACCGGUGGGUUUAGCCUCUCGGGGCGGCCCAACUAAUAUCCCAUCGCGGUGCUCUUCACUGAGUGUCGAGGUGGGCCGGUACGUUUACUUUGAACAAAUUAGAGUGCUUAAAGCAGGCUACUUUCGCCUGAAUACUGUGUGCAUGGAAUAAUGGAAUAGGACCUCGGUUCUAUUUUGUUGGUUUUCGGAACCCCGAGGUAAUGAUUAAUAGGGACAGAUGGGGGCAUUCGUAUUGCGACGUUAGAGGUGAAAUUCUUGGAUCGUCGCAAGACGGACAGAAGCGAAAGCAUUUGCCAAAAAUGUUUUCUUUAAUCAAGAACGAAAGUUAGAGGUUCGAAGGCGAUCAGAUACCGCCCUAGUUCUAACCAUAAACGAUGCCAGCUAGCGAUCCGCCGAAGUUCCUCCGAUGACUCGGCGGGCAGCUUCCGGGAAACCAAAGCUUUUGGGUUCCGGGGGAAGUAUGGUUGCAAAGCUGAAACUUAAAGGAAUUGACGGAAGGGCACCACCAGGAGUGGAGCCUGCGGCUUAAUUUGACUCAACACGGGAAACCUCACCAGGCCCGGACACCGGAAGGAUUGACAGAUUGAGAGCUCUUUCUUGAUUCGGUGGGUGGUGGUGCAUGGCCGUUCUUAGUUGGUGGAGCGAUUUGUCUGGUUAAU